rnacentral:misc_RNA from 1 species
GGGGCAUCAAAACCUCCCUGCUGCUCCGCCGUCAAUUCGCCGCCGUCCGUCCGUCCACCUCCCUGCGCCGGCGUUCCGCUGCUGCAAGUCUUCCACACCGGACGCCGGCGUCCUCCGUAACUGUGUCCUUUAACUGCACGCUAAAGAAAGAUGAAAGAACAGAUGGCUAUAUUAGGGAAUAAUAGAAUUGAAGAUGUUCGGUGGCUUUGUUCCUUAACCGAAUCUGAGC